rnacentral:lncRNA from 1 species
GUCAAUGUGUAAAUUUUGAUAAAUUUACAGUCUUUUUUAGCAAAAACACGAAGGAGGAAGAAAGACAGUUGUCAACCUUCUGAUGAGCCAAAACGAUAUUUAGGUUUACCGAACAUGGUUGGUCGAAGAAAUAAAGAGUCUUUCCAAGCUCUAAAAGAUAGACUUAAGCAGCGUAUUGAGAAUUGGAGUAUUAGAUUACUAUCGCAAGGUGGAAAAGAGGUAUUCAUUAAGGCUGUCUUACAAGCCAUAUCGACAUAUUCUAUGUCUUUCUUUUUACUCCCAAAAUCACUAUGCAAUGAAAUGGAGGGCAUUGUUGCAAAAUAUUGGUGGAAAAAAGGUCGUGGAAAGGGGGAAUUCACUGGUGUAUUUGGAAAAAUCUUUUCAUUUUGAAAGAAAACGGAGGUUUGGGAUUUCGAAAUCUUAGCCAGUUCAACAUUGCGUUGUUAGCCAAACAGGGCUGGCAUCUUUUUAAUUACCCAAAGUCUCUUUUAGCCAGAGUUCUUUAAAGAAAAAUAUUAUCUGCGCUCAAACUUUCUAAAUGCAUAGUUGGGAAACUCAUCUUCUCUUACUUAGAAGAGCAUUUGGGCAACGAAGGGCCUCCUUCUCAAAGGACUAAGCUGGAGAGUUGGUAGGGGAAAUGCAAACUCAAUUUGGAAUGACCGAUGGAUACCAGGGAUCGAGCCUGAGAUAUUGCAGAACAGAGGAGACAAUGGCUAGCUGGAAUUAGUAUUUGAUAUAAUCGACAGUACAAAUAAAACGUGGAAAACGGAGUUAAUUACAACUACCUUUCAAAUGGAUAUUGCUCAAAGAAUUUUGCAGAUUCCUCUUGGAUAGCAGACUGUGAAGACUUACAAGUGUGGAAAGGUGAACAUUCUGGCGAGUUUUCAGUACGAAGCGCCUACAAACUAUUGCAAGAUGCUAGCUUGGAUCCUAGUAGCUAUUUAGUACAGGCCGAAACUAAAGAUUUCUACAUAAAGUUGUAGAAUUUACAAUUACCAAAAAAAAUUUAAUUCUUAUUUGGCGGAUCUCUUGGAACUAUAUUCCUACGCUAGUUAAUCUUAGAUACAAAAGAGUGACUACAAAUGCUAGUUGUCUUUGUUGCUGCUCCGAGGAAGAAGACAGCUACCACGUGUUUCGGCAAUAUCCUACAAGCAACGAAGUAUGGAAUAGUCUUAAUAUGACUUGGGUAACAGCACACAGAUCAAAAUACAUAGACAUAACUUAUCUGGGUUUUUGGAAGGGGCACCAAAAAGCAGAUCCGAAUGUUCUGCUGCGCUUUAUGGGUUAUUUGGGGCUCGCGAAAUCAAAUGGUUCAUGAAAGGAAAAUCACAUCAGGUAAGGACCUUUUACACAAAAUACAAAGUUACUUAAUGGAACUUGAAGGAGUGAGUGAAAAAAAUCGUACCUUUAAGUCUGCUAAAACUCAAAGACAAUGUGAGGAGUCAAUAAGGGAGACAAUACAGUUCGAUGCAGCUUUUGAUAUUAGAAACUCCAGAUCGACUUCAAGACUAGUUGUUCGAAACCUUAAAGCUUCAAAAUCGAUUCUUCAUUCCAACGUCUUGUCUCCAUUUGUAGCAGAGGCAUUUGCAUGUUUACAAGCAACCAAGUUAGGCAUCGAAAUGGGAUUAGGCUCAGUUACAAUUAUGGGGGACUCGAAAUCAGUUAUUAAAAAAUUCCAAAUGACGGAUCGGGAUAGAUCUAUUAUUGGAGCUAUUAUUAAAGAUAUUCAGAGCAGCAAAUCUAGUUUUCAAGAAAUUGCCUUCAGGUUUAUUCAAAGAUCAGAGAACCUUCAAGACCACAAAACAGCAAAGGAAGCAUUAGAGAAAAGGGAAGAGUUAUACCUGGUGGGAGAGACGUUGAAAUGCAAUGAAACUACUCCAGAAGAAAGAUGGCCACAAAAUUCGGGCUGAAGAUGUGGAAGGUGAAAUGAAACGGAAAAGGUAGCAAAUAAAAAUAGAUAUUUUGGAAACUGCUAUCAUUUGAACAGACUUGAUGUUCUGACAUGAAAAGGCAAAAAUGAUAAUGGCGUCCAGGCUAUUGAGUUGGCUGGGAAAUGACUAUCGGUUUACUUUCUUUUAGCUUCUUUAGUAUGUAAUUUCUGUUUAUUUCCUUAGCUUAAGUAUUCAGUGGGCUAAUCAUUUAAGAUAAAAAUAUAGCCCAUGUUUUAAUUAGCUGCCCAUUCCAGCAAAACUGAGCCCAAUAUUCUUUGGAUUGUAGUUGUUUGUUUUUCUUCUUUUCAUUUUCAAUUAAUAAUAUCCUAGCCAAUUUUUUUCAAAAAAAAAAUCAAAUGGACCACAUUUUUUGUGAUGUUUGUUUUCUUUGAAAGUAUUAUUAAUUUUUAGUCAUGUUCUGGUAUACAUGUGAG